UACAACCUCGGAGUAGACACCAACAGGCCGGGCUUCCUCCGAUCUACACCUCCACUCUAUCUCUCUCAAUCUAGUAGAACUAGUCUACUCUCACAUUGGAUGCUACGCCCUAUGAGGUGGGAACCCUAAGGAACCUCUCUCUCUGAAUCCUCUCUGGAAAAUAUGCUAAUGAAUAACUGGAUUCUCUCCUCCAGGGGCCAGGGGGCCUUGCUUAUAUAGUCUUUUCAGAUGAAUCUGGGCCGUCGGAUCAAACCGACAUUGAUUGAACGGUUUUCCUUGAUCCUUUAGGUGGGUGGAGCAUAAUCCGCGAGGUUGAACGUGAUUGGCCACCAGAGGUGGCGGGCGCCCUGCCCCCGGGCCCGAUCGGCCUCCCGUUCGUUCCUGUGGCUUCUGGAGUCUUCUAGAUGAUAGAAAAUUACGCAGCACGUUAAUAUCUCUAUGUAAACCCAACAUGUGGGCCUUUCUUCCUUAUUUCCUGAUAACCCCCUGCAAAAAUAGAUAAACAACAAAACUCGUGGAAUUCUAUCAGAUCAAACACUAAUUCUAGGUGUUGUUUGUAUAUUGGUCCGUUUCCUUGUUUAUUUCAUAAUUAAAAUUGAUACUUAAGAACCGUCAACAAACACCCCCAUACUUAGGCUUUUACUCAUCCUUGAGAAAAGGAUGGUUAAGAAAAAUAUCUAGGGUUAAAACAUUGUAAAGCAUUCUCUUCAUACCUGUAGGGUGUAGAAAUCCACUGUGUACCGUAGUCAGGGAAAUAUAUGGUCAAGAGUAGAGAUCCUUUCUUCUUUUCAAUCCUAUCACUUGGAGUUUUUGUAUAUUUUUGAAAAGAAAUUUAGCAUACCUUUAUCCUCAUAGGUGCUCUCAGAUCACUCAUUAUCUUUUAUAUAUCUCACUGUGGCUGUUUUAAGUUGCAAAAAUUCUCAAGCAUACUUACCUUGCAUUUAUUGCCUGAUCAAAACGGGAUCUGAGGAGAGGAAUGUCAUACUCUUAGAUCAAAGACUUUGGAAAUUAAAAUCUUGUCAACUCUUACUGGCAUAUUGCUUAUUAGAGGGACCAUGGGCUACCAUUUUUUUCUCUCUUUUUUUUUCAGGUGGAUACCGAGGUACCCCUAAUUCUACUGUCGGACACUUGUCCAUUUUUUCUGCGAGGUUGUCAAGCACUUGCUCCUUUUUAUUUCCUCGAAAUAUUCAUAUUUUUUUGCAUAUCCCAUGCCUCUAAUGCAAUAAUACUUCAGAAGAGUGAAUCUUUCUAAAUAAAUGCCUUGAUCUUAGGAGCAUGAUAAAUCUCUCAACAAGGGUCUAACUCGUUUUGAACAAACUCAAUACAGAGCAGAUAGCUUUUAUAACAAUUAAUAUUUUCAGGUUUAUCAGACAUAUAAAAACUUAGGAUGGUAGCUAGAAUUUUUGAAGAUUUUGAAAUAAAUUCUCCAAGCAACAACGAUAUCAAGAAUAAGGUACUCAUUCUCUGCCAUCUCAUAUUCCACAAUGACUUAAGUAACAUAGGGUUUUUAAAUGAUUUUUAAUAAUUGCAAGUUUUCAGGAAGUAUCACAGAGUGAGAUUAAUCAUGAUUAGAAACAUUUUAAUCUUGUUAAUUUAUCAUGUCGGAGACAAUAUUCUGCACAAACCAAGAUAUAUGUGUAUGUGUAAAGUGUGCAGAGUAUGUACCUGAAUCGUGGAGUGGUUUAGCCGAAGUGCGUUUGGUAUGUCGAGGGAUCUCUCCCAUACUUGUUUUCUACUUUCUUGCAUAAAAAAUAAAGUAGAGACACACAAGACAUAAUAAUAAUAAUAAUAAUAAUAAUAAUAAUAAUAAUAAUAAUAAUCUUUAUUAAUCUCGAGGCAUUUAUUACAAAUGACUAGUAAUGAACUGAAGCAAAUAAUAGAUCUAAACCGAAUUUAAAGAUGAAUAACUAAGAUGCACUGCCUCAAGAUCUAAUCUAGAUAACUUAGCGGCGCUCUAACUCCCUGAUCUUCUUAUUGGCACUAGCAAGAUCAUGCUUAAGACCUAGUAUAACGGUGUUCUGAUUAGAGAACUGCCUAUUGAUGGAGUUAACCGAGGACUGGAGCUAUAUGAUGACCUUAUCUAGCCUACGAAUGUCCUCAUCAACAUCUAGGCCUAUAGUCUUGCGGCGCUCAGGAGGUAUCUCAAGAGCGUUGAGAGCGUGCUUCGGGGCUGCCUUUUGAGGGAUGAAAUGGACUUUGGCUGCUCUAAUCCCCUCGAAGUAAGGCCUCUCCUCCUCCGUAGUGUAGCGGAUGCUGCCGAUCUCGCCGCUCCAAUUGGUCUUGACUCCAACGCCCCGUUCAUUGGGCCUCGGUGGCAGGAUCCUCGUGCCGGCUGGCACCUUGACGGUGGCCUCCUUCUU
rnacentral:lncRNA from 1 species